rnacentral:rRNA from 1 species
AUUGAACGCUGGCGGCAGGCCUAACACAUGCAAGUCGAGCGGAGCGGCGGACGGGUACGUGAUGCAUAGGAAUCUGCCUGGUAGUGGGGGAUGACGUUCGGAAACGGGCGCUAAUACCGCAUACUAUCAGAUGAGCCUAGGUCGGAUUAGCUAGUUGGUGGGGUAAAGGCCUACAAAGGCGACGAGCCGUAACUGGUCUGAGAGGAUGAUCAGUCACACGGGAACUGAGACACGGUCCAGACUCCUACGGGAGGCAGCAGUGGGGAAUAUUGGACAAUGGGCGAAAGCCUGAUCCAGCCAUGCCGCGUGUGUGAAGAAGGUCUUCGGAUUGUAAAGCACUUUCAGUUGGGAGGCGUUACCAACAGAAUAAGCACCGGCUAACUCCGUGCCAGCAGCCGCGGUAAUAC